ACGGAAGGCAGCAGUGGGGAAUAUUGGGCAAUGGGCGAAAGCCUGACCCAGCAACGCCGCGUGAAGGAAGAAGGUCUUCGGAUUGUAAACUUCUUUUAUGAGGGACGAAGGACGUGACGGUACCUCAUGAAUAAGCCACGGCUAACUACGUGCCAGCAGCCGCGGUAAUACGUAGGUGGCAAGCGUUAUCCGGAUUUAUUGGGUUUAAAGGGUGCGCAGGCGGGCUGCUAAGUCUCCGGUGAAAUGUCAGGGCUCAACCUUGGCACUGCCGGAGAUACUGGCGGCCUUGAGAGUGGCGGAGGUAUCCGGAAUGUGUGGUGUAGCGGUGAAAUGCAUAGAUAUCACACAGAACACCGAUUGCGAAGGCAGGAUACCAUACCAUAUCUGACGCUCAGGCACGAAAGCGUGGGGAUCGAACAGGAUUAGAUACCCUGGUA
rnacentral:rRNA from 1 species